rnacentral:rRNA from 1 species
CAAAAUAGGCUCUCGAAGUGACCUGCGGAGGGAUCAUUA